GCUCCAAUAGUGUAUUUUAAUGUUGUUGCAGUUAAAAAGCUCGUAGUUGAAUUUCUGAUAUUUAAGACUUCGGUCGAAAAUAUCAUCCGCUUGGGAAAUAGACUAGAAGUUAACGCUUCUACCUAGGGAACAGGCAUUUUACCAUGAACAAUUAGAGUGUUUCAGGCAAGCGUUAGCAUGAAUACAUCAGCAUGGAAUAA
rnacentral:rRNA from 1 species